UACGAUUCUCUGACGAAACUCUUUGUGACCC
rnacentral:piRNA from 1 species